GACGAACGCUGGCGGCGUGCCUAAUACAUGCAAGUAGAACGCUGAAGGAGGAGCUUGCUUCUCUGGAUGAGUUGCGAACGGGUGAGUAACGCGUAGGUAACCUGCCUGGUAGCGGGGGAUAACUAUUGGAAACGAUAGCUAAUACCGCAUAAUAGUAGAUGUUGCAUGACAUUUGCUUAAAAGGUGCAAUUGCAUCACUACCAGAUGGACCUGCGUUGUAUUAGCUAGUUGGUGGGUAACGGCUCACCAAGGCGACGAUACAUAGCCGACCUGAGAGGGUGAUAGGCCACACUGGGACUGAGACACGGCCCAGACUCCUACGGGAGGCAGCAGUAGGGAAUCUUCGGCAAUGGACGGAAGUCUGACCGAGCAACGCCGCGUGAGUGAAGAAGGUUUUCGGAUCGUAAAGCUCUGUUGUAAGAGAAGAACGAGUGUGAGAGUGGAAAGUUCACAAUGUGACGGUAUCUUACCAGAAAGGGACGGCUAACUACGUG
rnacentral:rRNA from 1 species